rnacentral:rRNA from 1 species
AGCGAACGCUGGCGGCAGGCCUAAAACAUGCAAGUCGAACGCCCGUAGCAAUACGGGAGUGGCAGACGGGUGAGUAACACGUGGGAACGUGCCCUUUGGUUCGGAACAACACAGGGAAACUUGUGCUAAUACCGGAUAAGCCCUUACGGGGAAAGAUUUAUCGCCAGAGGAUCGGCCCGCGUCUGAUUAGCUAGUUGGUGAGGUAACGGCUCACCAAGGCUACGAUCAGUAGCUGGUCUGAGAGGAUGAUCAGCCACACUGGGACUGAGACACGGCCCAGACUCCUACGGGAGGCAGCAGUUAGGAAUCUUGGACAAUGGGCGCAAGCCUGAUCCAGCCAUGCCGCGUGAGUGAUGAA